rnacentral:misc_RNA from 1 species
AAGACUAUAGACCUGCGGAGUACCUGCGGAAGGAUCAUUAAUGAAUUUUAGGACGUUCUUUUUAGAAGUCCGACCAUUUCAUUUUCUUACACUGUGCACACACUUCUUUUUACACACACUUUUAACACAUUAGUAUAAGAAUGUAAUAGUCUCUUAAUUGAGCAUAAACAAGAAUAAAACUUUCAACAACGGAUCUCU